CAGUAGCCGCGGGAAUACGUAGGUGGCAAGCGUUGUCCGGAAUUAUUGGGCGUAAAGCGCGCGCAGGCGGUUUCUUAAGUCUGAUGUGAAAGCCCCCGGCUUAACCGGGGAGGGUCAUUGGAAACUGGGAGACUUAGAGUGCAGAAGAGGAGAGUGGAAUUCCAUGUGUAGCGGUGAAAUGCGUAGAUAUAUGGAGGAACACCAGUGGCGAAGGCGACUCUCUGGUCUGUAACUGACGCUGAGGCGCGAAAGCGUGGGGAGCAAACAGGAUUAGAUACCCCCGUAGUCCCUGUCUCUUAUU
rnacentral:rRNA from 1 species